GACAGAGGGUGCAAACGUUGUUCGGAAUUACUGGGCGUAAAGCGCGUGUAGGCGGUUAUGCAAGUCGGGUGUGAAAGCCCGGAGUUCAACUCCGGAAGUGCAUUCGAUACUGCGUAGCUAGAGUACUGGAGAGGAUGGUGGAACUCUCGGUGUAGAGGUGAAAUUCGUAGAUAUCGAGAAGAACACCGGUGGCGAAGGCGGCCAUCUGGACAGAUACUGACGCUGAGACGCGAAAGCGUGGGGAGCAAACAGG
rnacentral:rRNA from 1 species